GCUGCAUUUCUUCUUGUGUGCCGUCACUGUUGGCGUUUCAUCUUUUGAAAGCUAUGCACCAACUAGCCCCAUAACGUGUUUUACUGC
rnacentral:lncRNA from 1 species